rnacentral:rRNA from 1 species
GACGAACGCUGGCGGCGCGCCUAACACAUGCAAGUCGAACGAGAGAUGAGGAGCUUGCUCUUCAAAUCGAGUGGCGAACGGGUGAGUAACGCGUGAGGAACCUGCCUCAAAGAGGGGGACAACAGUUGGAAACGACUGCUAAUACCGCAUAAGCCCACAGCUCGGCAUCGAGCAGAGGGAAAAGGAGCGAUCCGCUUUGAGAUGGCCUCGCGUCCGAUUAGCUGGUUGGUGAGGUAACGGCCCACCAAGGCGACGAUCGGUAGCCGGACUGAGAGGUUGAACGGCCACAUUGGGACUGAGACACGGCCCAGACUCCUACGGGAGGCAGCAGUGGGGAAUAUUGCACAAUGGGGGAAACCUUGAUGCAGCGACGCCGCGUGGAGGAAGAAGGUCUUCGGAUUGUAAAGCUCUGUCUUUAGGGACGAUAAUGACGGUACCUAAGGAGGAAGCCACGGGCUAACUACGUG